UGCAGUCGUACGAAGGCUUUUAGCCUUAGUGGCGGACGGGUGAGUAACACGUGAGAAUCUGCCCUUAGGAGGAGGAUAACAGCUGGAAACGGUUGCUAAUACUCCAUAUGCCGAGAGGUGAAAGGAUUUAUCUACCUAAGGAGGAGCUCGCGUCUGAUUAGCUAGUUGGUAGGGUAAUGGCCUACCAAGGCGACGAUCAGUAGCUGGUUUGAGAGGAUGAUCAGCCACACUGGGACUGAGACACGGCCCAGACUCCUACGGGAGGCAGCAGUAGGGAAUUUUCCGCAAUGGGCGAAAGCCUGACGGAGCAAUACCGCGUGAGGGUUGACGGCCUGUGGGUUGUAAACCUCUUUUCUCAAGGAAGAAGUUCUGACGGUACUUGAGGAAUAAGCAUCGGCUAACUCUGUGCCAGCAGCCGCGGUAAUACAGAGGAUGCAAGCGUUAUCCGGAAUCACUGGGCAUAAAGCGUCUGUAGGUGGUUUGGUAAGUCUGCUGUUAAAGACUGGGGCUCAACCCCAGAAAAGCAGUGGAAACUGCUAGACUUGAGUGUGGUAGAGGUAGAGGGAAUUCCUAGUGUAGCGGUGAAAUGCGUAGAUAUUAGGAAGAACACCAAUGGCGAAGGCACUCUACUGGACCAUAACUGACACUGAGAGACGACAGCUAGGGGAGCAAAUGGGAUUAGAUACCCCAGUAGUCCUAG
rnacentral:rRNA from 1 species